rnacentral:rRNA from 1 species
ACUGUUGGCAAUGGGGCUUCUUGCCGCUUUUGGAUCGACCCGUGGCUUGAGGGCAACUCUAUCUCGACCCUAGCUCCUGCUUUGGUGGCCCUUGUCCCGGUCAGAAGGCCGCGUACCCGUACGAUUGCCAUGGCUCUCAUUGGCCGUACGUGGAUCUCAGACAUACAGGAAUCAGUUGGUCCGGCGGCCAUUCUGGAGUACAUCGAGAUCUGGCGCAAGCUACAGCGUGUGGCCCUUUCCUCCCAGCCCGAUAUCCUUCGUUAG